AUGCAGGUUGAAGAACAGCCAUUUGCAACAUCCAGGACAUUCAGCUCCAAGACUGUCUAUCUACUCAUGUACAAAGCACUACAGGGAUGUCAUUAUAGCCGGUAUGAUCAGGGAGGUGCAAAUGAUCUCAACUUACUCUCACUGAAUGAUAACCAUGGUACAACCUACAGUGAGGAAAGCAGCUUAAAAAAGGCUGCCAACACAAAAUCAUGUUCUGGAGACCACAAGGUGUCCUGUGACGAGAAGAUAAAAACAACAAGUGUGAGUUUUGACCUUAAAAUCUCAACACAAACUGUCGACAGAUCAAAUUUGAUACUGUAUUCAAAUAAAAAGGUGUUUGUUAGUUUACAAUUCAAGACUCAAGGUUAUAAUAUUCAUUAAAGUAGGAAUAUGACAGUGUAGAAAUACUCUGUUAUAAGUAAAUUCAAAAUCUUGCUUAAAGUGACUACAAGGAACCGUGACUUUCUGUUGAUUCCAGCGCCCCUUUGGACAAAAGUGUUAUGAUCUGUUGUAAAGAUCUUUGUUAGCACUUGCUGGCAGUGCAUGCAUUUGUUUUAGAAGCGAGUGACAGAAAGACCACAGGAUGGAUCAGUACUGUGAUGUAUUUAUAUGUAAUUUUAUGUUCCUCGUAGUCACUUUAAAUAAAAGUCACAAAAUGUUUUAAUUUUUUCCUGUAAUUAUAAUCUAAAUCUGCAAAUAAAAGUAAAUAAGUCAUUUAUUUCCAAGUCUUUGUCCUACAAUAGCGACAAGUAACAUCUUCAGAACCUGCUGUCUUUUACAGAGCUCUGCUAAGAAAAUGAUCACUGAACACAAGGUGGAACUCAUCAACUGUCUGAGUGCCGAUCAUUCCUAUAUUCUGCAACAUGCACAUGCCAAACAGAUCAUCACAGACAGACAAUAUCAGAAUAUAAAGGAAAAGUCUCCCUCAACACCGCAAGAAACUGUCACUGACCUGAUUGAUCACGUGAUUUUGAAGACUGGACCAGAAAGCUGGACUGCUUUUCUUGAAGUUCUCAAACUUCCUGAUGUUCUGAGCACUUAUCCGCGGCUCAAAGAAAUCAUAAAUGAAAUGCUGCGCAGCAAUAGUGGAUGCAAUGUGUGGCACCUAAAACAGGGUGACCACAUGUAGGUGGUAAGAUUUCCUCAAUGAGUAUCACAAUUAAUGUUGUUAUUGUAUAUUGUAGCGAGCAGCAGCAAGACUUAGACACACGUAAUAAUUGAUUAUGCGUUAACUCCGGAGUUAUGCCGUGUAUUUAUUUGAAAGACACUCAUCAAUGUGCCAUCAACCUAGCUAAAUCACUGGGGCGACUCACCGUUUCACUCACGGUGUGAUAACAACACGCUAACCCACGACCAUGUUGGACUUGAACGUCCAUGGGCUUUCCCCAGGGGCGGUUCUAGGGGGCGGGGCCAACAGGGGCCAGUGCCCCCGUAACUCUGAGUCUGGACCCCCCCUGUGGCCCCCCUGACAGGGAGUCUGCAUCAAUAAUACAAUGACAGAUUCCUUGCAAUGAUUUUGUUCUGAAGGGAAAGGCUGAAAUAAAGUGUCUCAGCAGUUUACUACCCAAUCAAAAUUGCUGAAAUUGUAAACACUGUUUUGUCUGAAUGAGGGAUUUAUCCUUUUUUCCGGGUUGUAUGUGCCCCCUAAAGGCAGGAACACACCAGCCCAACCGUUGGACAUCUGAAGCGUUUGGAGAGACUCGGACGAGGUCGGGAACAUAUAUGUUUGGUGUGUUCGGCUCUGUCGGAAGCUUUCGGAGCCGCGCGGACGUUGUCGGAUCCGACUGAGCAUGCGAAGUCUGAGGAGGAGGGCCGUCGGACGUCUGAGCCAUUGGAUCCUCUGAUUGGUUGUGUGCCAGCUGAAUGGCCGUUCUGAUUGGCGGUGUGCUGGCGAAUCAGCGCGGUGUGUGGAGGGGCGGAAUACUGUUUGCGCUUUGUUUUUCUAUGCACUCCGUUCCGUCAUUCCCCGUUUUCAUGUUUUGCAGUACUGGCACCAAACUAGUUGUUACGUCCGUUCAGGACGAAUUAAUUUGUGUAAGUUUGGUAAUGCCUCGCUGCAUGUUUAGUAUGCAGCUGUUUUUUAUCGGAAAUAGUUAAUUUUGUUUUGAUCGAAAGUAAAGAGAGUUGCGUGCAUAAGGUUCUCGUUGACAACUCACAACACAAGCGCCACUCGCUUAUUGCAUCUCGCGCAAGCGCAGAACGUACACACUACUGUGGUAGGCAGCACGUGGAAGCGGUGUGUUCAAUGCAAAUUUUCUGCCGAACGGGUCAGACAAGAGGCAACGGAGUGGUCAGAGAGUGGUCGGAUAAGGCAGUUGGACGUCUGGGCCUUAACAAAAAAGCCGGCCCCAACCUGGCCCCCCUAUUAAAACUGGUCUAGAACCACCACUGGCUUUCCCCAACAUGUAAUAAAAUAUUUAUGUUCCAUUUAUAUUGGAAAUGGGGGGUAACGUUUGUGUUCUCAUGAGUUAGGGAAUGAGAGAAUGGUUAGGGAGCGCAAUUGCUGCUGUCUCCUCAGGGGGAAUCUGGAAAGAAAACAAGACACAGGUUGUCUUCAUUCCUCUGCUUUACUUGCUUUAUAAAGGUCGGUAAACGGUUAAUGCACCAUGAAAUGUUACCUUAUAUUGACAGAUAUUAUAAGUGCGAGUCUCUCUGUGAAGUUUGUAAUCUGGUUUGAUGAGUUAUUCAUGUUUAAACAUUAAUAUGUUCAAAGUUUUCCUGCGCGGACGCCAUUUUGGUCUCAGCGUGUCUGCAGUUGCACUAGUUAAAGUGGAAUUAAGCGAGAUUAAAACUUCUGUACAUGAUGUGUUCCCCAGCUAGUCGCGAAUUAUGUAUGUUUUAUAUGGAUAUGUACGUUUGUUUAGAUUGAAAUACUUAUGGUUACAAAUUUAAUUUAUCUUUGUUCAUAAACUUGUUUCCAGGUAUAUCUAAGUUUAAAAAUGUAACACCAGCACUUUGUUUGGAUACACAUUUCAGUGGUCUAUUGUAUUUAAAGGUGUUUUAUACACUGUAAAACUACAUCAUAUGAAAACAGUGUUUUGAACCAGUUUAUACUGUGAAAUGGACACAGAAAAUGUCAUGUAUUUCCAGAAACUGUUUAUUGAUACAAAUUUAAAUAUGUGAUUAGAAAAGAGAAGAUGAGAGAAAAUGUAUGUUAGUGAUUUAAAGGCUGAAUUGCAAACAGUGAAAUUGAACUACAUAAACUGUGAUGAGGUAAAACGAUAUGCAUUGUGCUUAUGUGACUGUUACAAUACAUGAUGUUAAAUAAAUCAUACACAGAGGCAAUCUGGAAAGGAAACGAGACACACUGUGUCCUCAUUCCUCGGCUUUACCUGCUUUAUACAGGUAGCAUAUUUGUUACUGUGGUCUCCCAUCCCUGGAAUCUGUAACAAAUGCAAAAGUUGUUAACUGUAAUGUAGAACUGACACUUGUAGUCUGAAUUUGCAGAGUGAGGAUACGCUAAACUGGAAAAGUGACAUGAUUUAAGUAAGGCUGUUUAUGUAAUUUCUGCUUGCCAGUUUUUCUACUCAUAUCAAGUAAUAUUUUUCAAGUCUCCCCUUUUCCUUCCAAAAUGCACAUAAAAGGAUCACAGCUACAGCGUUUUCCUUUGACUGAUUAUAACUAACAAUAGUUUUGUCUUGUGAAAAUUAAUGUCAGCAAAAAAAAUUAAAAUAAUACUGGCUUUGCUGAAAUUACAGACUGUGAAGGCCUCAGCUUUUAUCUGUCAUUGGGUGUCAUGUUGAUACAUUUUGACUGUAUUACCUAUUUUCUUUCUUGUGUAAACUAAGCA
ensembl:lncRNA